rnacentral:rRNA from 1 species
AUUGAACGCUGGCGGCAGGCUUAACACAUGCAAGUCGAACGAGUGGCGGACGGGUGAGUAAUGCUUGGGAAUCUGGCUUAUGGAGGGGGAUAACUACGGGAAACUGUAGCUAAUACCGCAUACCAUCAGAUGAGCCCACAUGGGAUUAGCUAGUUGGUGGGGUAAAGGCUCACCAAGGCGACGAUCCCUAGCUGGUCUGAGAGGAUGACCAGCCACACUGGGACUGAGACACGGCCCAGACUCCUACGGGAGGCAGCAGUGGGGAAUAUUGCGCAAUGGGCGCAACCCUGACGCAGCCAUGCCGCGUGAAUGAAGAAGGCCUUCGGGUUGUAAAGUUCUUUCGGUAGCGAGGCGUUAACCACAGAAGAAGCACCGGCUAACUCCGUGCCAGCAGCCGCGGUAAUAC